UCAAUAAGCGGAGGAAAAGAAACUAACAAGGAUUCCCCUAGUAACGGCGAGUGAAGCGGGAAGAGCUCAAAUUUGUAAUCUGACGGCCUCUGGUCGUCCGAGUUGUAGUCUGGAGAAGCGUUUUCCGUGCCGGACCGUGUACAAGUCCCUUGGAACGGGGCGUCGUAGAGGGUGAGAAUCCCGUCUCUGACACGGACUGCCGGUGCCAUGCGAUGCGCUCUCGAAGAGUCGAGUUGUUUGGGAAUGCAGCUCAAAAUGGGUGGUAAAUUCCAUCUAAAGCUAAAUAUUGGCGAAAGACCGAUAGCGAACAAGUACCGUGAGGGAAAGAUGAAAAGCACUUUGGAAAGAGAGUUAAACAGUACGUGAAAUUGUUGAAAGGGAAACGCUUCAAGUCAGUCGCGUCUUCCGAGACUCAGCCGGGCGUCGCAGCCCGGUGCACUUCUCGGUGUGAUGGGCCAGCAUCGAUUUCGACAGUCGGAGAAAGGCUUUGGGAACGUGGCACCCUUCGGGGUGUGUUAUAGCCCUCUGUCGUAUGCGACGGUCGGGAUCGAGGACCGCAGCGUGCCCUUCAACGGGCCGGGGUUCGCCCACGUAACGCGCUUAGGAUGCUGGCGUAAUGGCUUCAA
rnacentral:rRNA from 1 species